CUUAUUUUCAGUUAUUUGAACAAUGAAUGUAAAUAACAAGAUCCUUCUGGCAGCAAGGCAGAAGAAAUGUGCUUACUUCAUACUAUGCAGAAGACCCUGGAAACUCAGAUUCACCACCUGGCUCUGAAUACUGCAGAACUACAGUGCAAAAGGACAAUGAAAUAAACUGAGUGUUGUAGACUCUAUGGAUCACCAGUGAAGAACUCUGAAAAAAUCUUCAAGUUAAAACUGUUGUUGCCCCACUGGUCAGAAAUAGUAUACUGUAGAAAUAAAUCAACUACUAGGAAAACAGGUCAAAAUUAUAGAGUCCAAAACCAAAGGAAGAGAUAAUAGGGUAAUAUACUCAAGGAAAACGAAACAGUUCUUUAUGGAUUCUUGACCUACAUUCAAGUAAAAUGCUACUUUUCAACUGCUCUUAAAUCUGUUUUCAGCUUUAUUCUAGAAAGCGUAUCGCAGUUCCUGCAAUCCUUGACUGCUGGAACACAUCUGCUACUUUAGUUUCUAAAAGGCUGUGAUUGCAGAAUUCUAGACACUUGGCAGAAAUGUCUGUGUUAAAUGGUGAAAACAUUCGUAAUCUAGAGAACAGCCAUAUUUGUUACAGCCUUGGAAGAGCUACUAAACACAGAGAAAUUAUUUGCAAUUAAGAUCAAGUAGCUGUCUUGACACUUUAAUUACAGUACACAUUUUGUUUUUCCUUUUGUGAUCAAUUGCACAUUUUUCCUUCUUUUUUUCCUCCCGUCCUCUUUACUGAGACCUUUUCAUUUAAUCUGUUUUCUUUGAAUGCUUUGUGUUCAUUCCAUUUCAUGUUUCCAUUUUUAACAUCUGUUAGUCCAUAUUCUGAGGAAAAAAAAAAAAAGCACCAUAUUUAUCUCUAUAUUUCAAAGAUCUAUCUAGAAAAAUUACUUUUCCAUGUUUUAGGUUAAGCCUGAAUGAACUAUUUCCUCUGAUAUUAAAAUUUCUGACUCACAUUUUUUUGGACAUGCUUUGUAUGACUCUUCAGACUCAUGCUGAGUUUAUUACCAUUCACAGAUAUUCCAUAUUUAAUCUUAAUCCUUCCAUCCUUUGGAAAUGGAAAACUUAUACAAAAUCAUAGAGCAAAAUAAUUAUUCAGAUGUGACUGAAACGCAAGGAUCCAAGGUUGCUACCUUUUAUAACUGUCCUGUGGAUCUUGUCGUAACAAGUAGAUCUUUAAAAGUCCCUGCUUUCAGGUCUUGUAAAUACCCGUCAACAUAGAUCCAUGACACUCUGAGUGCUCAGAGUGUACUCGCCUUGAAAACAGAAGCAAAAGAUACAAAACACUCAACUGUGCUUUCUAUUGCAUUUCUUAAUUCUUUUUGAACCACUUGUACUAUUUUAGGGUGUCUGACAGACAGCAUUUUGACACUGUGUGUGUGACGAUUCUGAUUGCAGUUCCUUUUACUGUCCGGACCUUCAGUACUGAGGACCCACUGGUUUUGCCAAUUCUUUCAGUUGGAAGAAUCAAGACAAAUUAUCAGUCUUGAAUAUUUUCUGUUUGAGCUUUGUGAUAGCAUUUUACUGCAGAUUUCUUAAUAUGAGUGGGGCUUUUUUAAUGCUUGAUGAUUUAUGAAGCCACAAAGCCAUUCAGCACAAACAUUUUCAAGCAUCAUAGCAACAUAUAACCUAAUUAGUACAUUUGAGGGCAGUGAAAACUGCAAAAGAAGCAGACAUCAGUCACUAAAGCAAUGGAUUGAUUUUUCAGUGUGCAUUUGAAGUACUUUUAUCAAUACAAUGCGUUAGUGCUUUUGGGCUAUGUCAUUCUCCAGUCUGCUCUUUGCUGGGUAAAUGUCAAUAGAAAGCAUAAUAACCAAACUUAACGCUUUUCAUCAACUGUAAGUAACAUGCUACUAUCACUGUGUGUUCUUCGGCGGUCAAGGGACUACAGACAAGCAGGAGGAACUGGAAAAUGUCAGUGAUACAGUGACAUGGGUUAUAUCAAGUAACUAAUUUACCCUUCUUGUACUUUUUUUAGUCCUUUUGAUUUCCCCUUCCUUCUCUCCUUUCCAGAAGGGACAGGGAGAUAGACACACCCAGCGUAUACAGAGCUUUUCCUUGCUCUUCAAACUGGAAAAUGCUUGAAUAAACAGUUCUUGAUUCAAAUAAUUUGGUAAUGUUCCCCAGUGCCAAUGUGAGGCUAAGUUUAACCAAAUCUAAACAGGAACUGAAACAUCUAAAAUAGAAUUCUGCAAUAUAUGAAUCACCUAAUUCAAACAUCCUUCUGUGUUAAAGUUCAAGAUAAUGGGGUUUCUUUAUAUAUUAAAACUAGAAAAGUUAUCAUGGGGGAAAGCCAGAUUCAUGGCCUUCUGUAGAGCAUAAACGUUCAUGCUUUGUUUUGCUUAAAUGCACCAUCAAUAAAAACACAGAUGAGGGUCUUCCAGUGGUAUCCAUAGUUUCUUUCAUGCCCUUGGGGUGCCAAAAAGUUAUCUCAGGUGAGGAUCACGUAAUCUGUUAGCCAGAACCCUGCUCCAGGUAGAUGUGAAAAAGGCUGACCCAAAAUUGGGAUAGUACAUGAGAUAGAAAUUUUUCAUUAAGUUAAAUGUACGGCUUCAGACAGACACAAGAUGAAUGAACAGUCUGAUAAAAAUCUUUAAAUCAAACUGAAAUAAAUAAGGAACAGACUUCGUGACACAGAACUUUGAAAAUUAGUCUUAAUCACUAAGAAUUUUCCUACCAAACUAUGAUUUUCUCGUUAUGAGAAAAUAGUAACUUUUCAAAAUCAUGAAGAAAUAUUUUUAUAUGCCAUGAGGUGGGCUUUAAAAUAGAAAAUAAUUUUAUAAAUUAUUUGUAAGUCUAUGAAUUAUAAAAGCGUGUAGUUCCUUUCUAUAAAUAAAAUAAAAUAAAAUAAAAUGCAAUAAAGCAAAACCCACAGACUUAAUGAAUGAAGACCUAGAUUAUAAAUGUUACUUAGCAUAGCCUAGCAAUACUCAAAGCACAUUAUUUCCUGACUGGCUGAGCCAAAGGAUUAUCGUCAAGAGAAUGUUUUCCCUUUUAGUAGAGUUUAAGUAGUGAAAAUAAUAUUUAGAACAACCUUAUGCACAACAGAGCAAGAUGACUUUUGCUUGGUAACUGUUUAGCUAAGCUCAACUGCUCUGGGCUUCACUUUGAAGUAAGGCCAUCAGACCUCACCAGGGACAUCUGCGGUACUCAACAGACCCUGAGAAAGCUUUGAGCUAGCUUAAACUUUAACUUUUAGUAGAAAUGGAAGCUGUCUGGGGGGUCCUAGGUGAGAUUCUGUAUUAAUAAAUCCACAUAGAUCAAGCAGGUGGUGCUGCCUGUGAUGACCACUUUUGCUUUGUUUAUACCUACCUACUCAUGACUGUGGGGUAUGGUUAGACUUAGUGUUGGAUGACUUCUUAUUUGUCUAAGUGUAGGAUGACUCAGUUCUGGCUCCAGUGAGGUCCUCUCUGACUGUCAUGUGACUAUGAAUUUGCUGUUUGUUCUGCUGGAACUGGAAUAGCAAAUUGUUCAGGGAAGACUGCAACAGUUUCUAUGACUGAGUGUCAUACAGGAGCUGAAGGGUAUAAGGAAAAGGAGGGGUAGGUAGGGGCGUGUGGAGAGAGAGAACAUAAUACAGUCUUUGUUCACAAAACAGGUAGUUGAAGGAGUACUGGAGGUGAAAUGCUUUAGUAACUUGCUUCAAGCUGACAAGGUUAUGCCAUUGCUGCCUCUACUGAGAAAAUAUCUGAGUUCUGGCUACAAGAAGUUUAGUUAAUUUUUUAUUUGGCUGUUUUUUAUCCCACUGAAUUUUGGAAUUUCAAACAACUUCCCAAGUUUUAUUUUGUUCCUACCAUCUAUCAUUCUUGUAUAAGAUGUGAAGAGAAUUCUCCCAACAUUUUGAAAGGAAAGAAACUGCAAUAAAUACCUGACUUAAAAGCUUGUGUCCUUUGAUGUGAGUAUUCACCGAGGUCAGUGAAAUGUAAAUAUCGAUUCAUGCCUUGGGAAUGUGGAAUUAAAAUCAUGCUUAAUGUUUUUCAUUAGCGUCUUCAUUAUAGUUUGUUCCUCUUCUUUCAAUUCAUUCUUCCCAUACCCUCAGUUUGGAGGAGGGCCACGAAAAUGUUUUGGAAGAAAAACAAAAUAUUAUGAGAAAAGACCUUAAAUAUAUAAAAAUUAGAAUUCUUCCCCCCCCCCCCCCCCCACCCCCUGUUUCUUCUCCCAUCUCUCUUCCUAAGACAAGAAACAAAAACAAGCAUUCAUUCUAGGGGGAUAAUUGUGUAGCUUUUGAUCUAAGGUCACAAAGACAAACAUGGGCCAUUUGUCUAAGUACUUGACAUACAUCGCUAUAUUAGAGAGCUUUCCAGUUAGAAUCUUUCAUGCCUGCCAUGCAAGGGAGAUACAUCUUCCAUCUUGAAGAUGAAUCAGUUGAGGUAUUCUUAGACCAGGUAGCUUGUUUUACCUCACAAAAUAAAGAAACAGAUCCUCAGGACAAAAGGCAAACAGUGUAUUUAGAGACCUUGAGCUAGAUAAAAUGAUGAAUUUAAACAACACUAAAACAUCUUUAGUCAUACUUCUCUCAUUUUUUUCCUCAAGUACUUGAAGUGACAUUUCUUUUCAGAGAGGUUCAUUAGAACCAACUGGCACCUGCUUUAGGUGCACGACCUGUACAGGGAUGACCAAUCCAUAAGUCUUGAACUACAGCUUUCCAGUGUUUGUAUGGGGUGUGUGUCCCAUGGCUGUGCUGGCCUAGAGAAGGUCUGGUGGCAGCUUCCAUCCCACCUGUGAGUGGAAGUGAACUACUGCCAGCAGGCUGUCACAGUGAAAACAUGCAGUUUUUCAAAGGCUCUGAGCAUCCACCAGUAAAAGGUUUGCUGGUGACCCUGUAUGGAGCUGUUUCAUAAAACCUGAAUAAGUUAAAAAAGAAUGGAGUGUGAAGAAACUUGGAAACAUUUGCUUGCUUCCUGCCCCUAGGAGCUCAGCCUGUAGGCUUGAUUAGAUUGCCAGUCUGAGUCACAUAAUUCUCCCUCAGUAAUGAUUGCAGGCAUCUAAUUCCGUGUUCUCAGCUAGGAGCUGGUUGUUAGAUCCAAGGCAGUGAAGUUAGCUCAGAGACACCUCGGUCCUGUUCUGGAUGUGGCCAAUGGGAAGAGCAGUCCCAACCUUCAAUCCCUGUGGGGCAGGCCAAUAGUUCAGCCAGGCAAUUCAUUUUGCAACCAUUUAAAGAUCACCCCUGAGGGGUUUAUUGUAGAAUAAAAACAGAGAUUAACCUUAAAUUAGCUUGGCCAAAUUUGACCAUUUAAGCAGCAGUAGGAUUUUUAUUGUGUUUGGGCUUGUAUCAGUCACACAUUCCUAUGGUUAACUUAGUUACACAAGCUCCUAAAAAAAAUAAAAUAAAAAUAAAAAUCAGGUAAACAUGCACUGACUAUGAUCUAUAUGUUUACUCCACAUUUUGGAAAGCUGAAACACGAGGACAUUGAAAAUACUGUGAUAAUUCUGAUUUACUGACAAGUCUUUUGCAUUUAAGGCAUUUCUGCUGGGAAUUCUACCGAGAACUUUCCAAGUUUCAGCCCCUGUGCAGUGUCAGUGAACUAUGGACCAGCACCAAUGUGCUAUCUGCAGCAGUCAGAUUGAAUCUUUGCUUUAUUUAUAUUGCUUCUGAUACUGAAGUGAUGUUUCCCAUUGUUCAUUUCUCCAGACAGGAAGAAAUGAACCUCCCAGCCUAUUUACAUCCACUGGCAAUAAAAACACAUUUUAAUGAGAAAAUGAAAUAUUUGGACUUUAGACUUUAGGCAUCAGUGUAUCAUUUCUGGCAGCUGUGCUUUUAUUCACUCUUACUCUGAUUGAAACUUCAAUGACAGCAGCCAGGAUCCUCCCCUUCUGUUCAGCUUUUCCAUACAAGGCAAAAUGAAAUAGAUGUCUCUAAAGAUAGACCAUACUAUUCUGAACCCUUUCUUUUUUUUCAUGAGAUCAUGUCAAUAAAGAGAAUGAAAAGAUCAUUCCUACCUUUACUCUUUAUGAGCUAAAGAACUUCAGAAAUUUCAGUAUUUUUUCUGUUUCUACAAAUUUGUGUUGUUCCUCUUUCCUUUUAAAUGUAUGAUUCUUAGCUUAUUUUAUCACACAAUGCAAUGUUAUUUGUUAGAUUAGUUUUCAUUAAAAAAAAAAAAACACAAAAAACAAAAGAGUGUUAUUUAACUGUUCUAUAAGGUUUUAAAACUAAUGGUCCAAUUCACGGGUAGUAAAACAACAGUGAUUCAUAUCUCUCUUUGUAAGCAAUGUAACCCAAAGACCAUUAGGCAGCUCUGGUUUUGAUAGGGCUUUUCUUUUUUUUUUCCGCAGGCAUAAUGACUCCAGAGAGACCAAACGUAACAGUCACCAGUUGGGCUGCUUUCUUUUCCAUUCCAGUUUCACACAACAAAGGGAUCUGCAGAUUUUAUUUGUUAUUUAUUUAGACUCUAAGAAAGCCCGGUUUAAAAUAUUAUCCUGUCCAGUAUGCGUUUCUGCUAAUGGCAGCUCAGAGUAAAUGUGCUGUUUUCCCUCCCUGAGACUGUGAAGUAAGGUCGCCCACAGUGUAAACACACUGAAAUACGCAGCAAUAAUCAGAAUCAUAAGAUCACAGAAUGGCUUAGGUUGGAUGGGCCUUAAAGAUCAUCUAGUUCCAACCCCCUGCCAUUGGCAGGGCUGCCACCCACCAGCUCAACUGCCCAGGGCCCCAUCCCCACUGGCUUUGAGCACCUCCAGAGAUGGGCACCCACAGCUCUCUGGGCAGCCUGUGACAGCGCCUCACCACCCUUUAAACAAAAACUUUCUUCCAAACAUCUAACCUAAAUCUCCCCUCUUUUAGUCUAAAGCCAUCUCCCCUUGUCCUGUUGCUAUCAGACCUUGUAAAAAGUCAAUCUCCCUCCUGCUUGCCAGUUCCCUUCAAUUAGUGGAAGAUUGCACAAGAGUUUAGCCUUCUCUAGUUAAAGCUAGUGAGGAUUUUGUUGAUGGGAGCUGGCUAUAAUGGAAUACAAAUCAGGAACUAAAACAUUAUUUUUUGACUUUGAGCCAAAUCUAAAAGAUACUAUAGCUCUGCACCAGUCCAAAGCUGCAAGCUCAAAAAGCUUCACUUCCUUGCACCUACUUUUGUGUUUGCCUGACAUGCUGAGACACUUUUCCAGGUGGAUGAAGCUCUCAGCACCUAUAAAGAGCUACAGUAUGGCCACGUCUGUCUAACUGAGCCAGAAUGUGACAAGUCCUUGUGCAGUUUCUCCAGCCUGUAGACGUUACUGGAGUGAAUGGAAAGUCUCUGGGUAAGUUUCCUUGUUAAAAUGCAGUUAUAGUUCCCUUUGCCUUUAGGACUUUGGAAAAGAAAGGGCUUGUGAUGGUUGUUUUCCAUGUAGUGGUGGUACUGCUGAGGCUUCUUUCCAGCAAGUGGAUGACCCAGGUUUAUACUCGUCUGAGCAGGAAAGCCCCUUUUCCAAAUAUUUCAGGCGAAUAUCCUAAUCAGUAAGAUGGGAAAUCAAAGAAGGAAGCAGAUUAUGAUGUUUUAAAGGGGAACACCUGCAUCUAAUGCCUUCUCCAGGGACUGCACCAUAAGCAAGAUCAUGUUUGAAUAGCACAAAUGCUAUUCCUCUGCCGCUGUUUGAAAACAGGAUAUGAGAACGAGACUCAGUUACUCAACAAGACCUAUGGGUAUCUGGUUUUGGGAAACUUCUCUGGGCUGGGUCUCCAAAAGUUCUGCAGCCUGUUGACCGGCAAGAAGCAUCCCUGCACUAUGGGGUGGCCACAUUUAAUACUUCCCCAGUGUAACACAGGGCACAAGCCUCAGCAGUGUUUCCUAAUUUAUAGCUCAAGGCAGCUCCCUGCUCUGGCACUCAGGCGGUCUCUACUGGGUUCCAGAGGGCAAUGAGCAAACUGAGGGCCUAGGUAUGUAAUCUGGGGUUCUCAGUUGUCCAGUGCUGCUGGACAGGUAAAAAACAGGUGUCACAGUGACCAACAGUGUGGAUAGACAGCAGGGUGAAAGGGUGUGUGGAGCUCCCUUCUUUAAUAGCGCUGCAGUGACACAUAUGUUAUUAGCAUGUGACUGGAUAAAAAGUUUGAAAACAAUGGGCUGCUGAUUGUUCUCCUCACUCUUUAGGUCUUUUAGUUCAUAGCACUCAAAGAGUGUACUGUCUACCUUAAAAUAGAAUAGAUAUAGGUAUUAAAAACAAACAAAAGAAACCAAAGGAAGAAAAACCUCAUCAACCAACCUAUCGCUCAUUAGCUGAGAAAAGCAGCUUUAUGUUACUGUCCAUUUAAGACCUUACUAACGCAGAUUUCUGUAUAUAUACAGAAUUACUUGUAAUGAGUAAUGGGCAGUAUAUUUAUGGAAUCAAUAUUAAAUUGGCCCUUAAGUAGUUUAAAUUCCUUUGAAGCAGAUUCACAAGGAACACUAGGGCACUCUGACAUCCAGUUGGUACCAAGCUGGGGUCAACGUUACCGAGAGUGUAACUAAUUUUAACACAUAGAUAGACCUGAUUGUAAGAUGGAAACUCAUCUGACCUAUUUUGGAUUUCUAGUUUUGGGUAAGAUGUGCUAUACACUGAAGUGCCUCUUUUUCACAACUCAUUUUUCCAUGGCUUACUCACUGGAGACUUCAGGUUUUCAGCAUCUGUAGUUAGUUUGCAUAAAUCCUACCUCAGAGUCCAAAUAGGAGCUGGGAAUAUCAUCACUAAGUAUUAUGCUCAUGUUGCAGUGCGGAGUCUGAUUUGUUGGAGCUGGUAAUAGGUAACUGUGCCAGGGUGUGUUCCUGUGUUCAUUUCAGGAUAAGCAGUUUUCUGCCUUCUUUGAAACAAUGUGAUCACUACAGAAGUCAGCCCUACAAAAUCCAGGGCCAAACUUUCUGAAAGGGCUUCAAUACCCAUCUCCUCUGGAAACGAUGAGAAAUAGGUGCUUAAUUUCUUCUUGAGGCGGGGACUGUUUCAUGUCCAUGCAGGGCUGCAUUUAAUGUCAGGGGGCUUCGAGUUUAUGCAAGUAGUGCUCUUUCAUAAAAUCCUGGUAUCUGAUUGACAUAUAUUUGAGCUUUGCCUGUCACUUCAAAUCCAUUCUCAACUUUUGUCUUGCUAUUCAAUGUCACUUCUAGGUUGAAGUGCAUUUUUCCGGCAGCUACACAGCAGUUUCUAUGGGUUAAUCAUAGGAUGGCUUGGGUUGGAAGGGAUCUCAAGGAUCAUCAAGUUCCAAACCAAGUUAACACAUAUUUUGUAUGAAAUAGUGCAGUAAACAAAUUCAUAAUGUGUCUAUUGAAAGAAACUGUGAUAUAAGUUGAUUAACCAUUGUAUCCACAUCCUUAAGGGAAUUUCAAUAAAAGUCACCUGAUUCUAAAGGACCCCUAACUACGUAAAUGAGAAUAGGAUCACCUUUAAGCAUCAUGAACACUGGCUGAAAUUUAAUGGUCCUGACUUAUACAGUUGUGUAAAGAAAAGGAUUUUAAUUUUUCUUAUUGCUGUUAUAAUUCAUGAAAGUGUUAGAGCUCUCACAUCAGAGUAAAAAUGUCACUAAAACAUCAUUAGUUUGGGCAGAAAUAUAAUUAGUAUAAUGGGCAUAUACACUCGGAACAGCUGCUUUUUUGACAACAUUAAAUCCAUAGUCACUUUUAUGCAGAUGACCAAAAAUAGUAAUAAUAAUAGUAUUACUUUUCUAUCAUGAAAUCCCUUUCACCAACACAGCAGAGUGUGCAGAAUUGUACAUUCUAAGACCUGUUUUUUAAGAGGUAAGAAAUUCUGAAUUGAAACACUUCCGGAAAAAAAAAAAAAAAAUCACUACUUAUAGGAAAACAAAGCAAAACAAAGAGACAAACCCAUGACGGUCCUACAUUCUGCUACGAUUCAGCUCCUUCAUCACUGGCAAGAUAUUUGCUCCAGCAUGGUUUUCUCAGAUAGAACAGGCUCUCUGUAACAUGCCCAGGCAUAACUGACCUGGGGGAGGACAUUCUUACCCCAAUCCCUAAAGUCUUCCGAGGCCUGACAUAUCUUUGACCUACUUUAGAGUGAGCAGGAUAUCUAAUGCAGUUUAGAUUCAACAGAUGUUCAAGAGAUAAAAAUAGAGGAAGUGAGACGCAAUUCUUCACCAGAAAAAAUGCAAUGCCUAACAUACAAACACAUUCCAAUACAUUCUCAAUCUUCAAAAAAUUCUUGGUAUUUUGAUGUUGAAUGUCCUUGCUGUACCAGGCAUGUUACUCUUCUGUCCAAUAGGAGUUUCAGAAGAGGUCAUAAAAACAUCCUGGAGUCUUGUCUUUGCCCUUGUAUGCAAUAACAUGACUGCAUGCCAAUGUAUAUGUUAAAAAUACAGAGGAAGAAACAAAGAGACCGAGUCAGUGCUUCAAAACAACAUCUACAGCCAUGAUUAGAGCAGUCCUCAGAGUUCAGCUCUCCAGUCUGCUCCAUCUGGAGAACGUGAAAUCCCUUGUCACAUCUCACAUUGUUUCAGGAAGUGAUGGCAAAAGUCUGAAGUGGGCUCUGGCCAAGGCCAUGGCCAUUCAGCAAGGCCAGCAGGCCUGGCUCCCUGCCUGUGGACAGAUGCACAGCUGACAUCUGUGUCCUAUUUGGCCCUCACUGCUGGAGUAACCCCACCGAUAGGCUCUCAGUCUCAGGCAGGGAAAGGUUCUAAUCAAAACAUUCUAUCCACAGUAAAGAUAAAAUGGAGUGGUUUUGUGCAGCUGUGUGUGCAUGAGUGCAUUCGACUGCUGAAACUCUUAGAAAGAUUAGAUACAGAAUAAGUAAUUUUUCCCCUUUUUAAAAUUUCACACUUAAUUUAAAGCUAUGAAUUUCCAUUUAAAACACUUUGUUCACCAUGUGAACCAUAAACAGUUUAUGCAAUAAUGCAUCCUCUGAAACCAAAACACUGUUUCUGUGAGUAGUGGACUGGCAUGGUGAAUGCAUGAUCCGUGUAUAUACAGAGUGGUUAAACAAAUAAGCACUUGUGGUUAUCUAAAUAUUAUGAAGAGUUAUCUUCUGCAAAAGGCAUUUCUAUUUUUCUUCUUUUGUGUAAUGACUUAAUACCAAAAUAUUAUUAAAUACAUUAAAAAACAAAACAAAACAAAACACCCACAGGUACAUAUUCUGCAAGUCAAGAAUAUAUUAAAUGCAUUAUGCUCUGUUUACCAGAAGUAAUGAUCUUAUGCUGACACAGUUCAUCCUAAAAAUAUGCUUUCUAAAAUAUUGUCUCACAAAUGAAAAAAUGGGGACACACAUGAAAAUUAUAGCUGAAUAAUUGCAUUUAUGGCCUAAAGUUACAACAGCCAGAAAAGUCGCAGAUAAGACAGGGCAUGCUUUUUACUGCAGAAUUUCCUGACUGUUUGGUUUCUAUCUCAUCCUUAAUGCUAUCUCAGUGCUAUUUUAGCCUGUGAAUUGAAUUUUCUUUUAAUUUGAGCAGAUCAUAUAUUCAUUUGUAGAUGCUCUAUCUUCAUCAAUCAAUACAUUACGCCAGGCAGCUUCAUCUCCUCCUGAAAGAUAACCUUGGAUUAUGUCAUGGCUCAAUUCCGCAUUGCCCCUGCAGAGAUAAUGAAUUCGCACAUGUAAGAGGAUCAUUUACCAAUGGGGGUGGGAUGCUGUUUUGAGCAUAUCAUUUCCAUCUGCCACAGAAUGAUUCCAUUUGCACAAAUCAAUCUCCUGGAGGAGGAUUUCUUAGCUACAGUAAGCACACUGUAGGCACUGUGUAGCAGAGUGUGUCGUCUGACAGGAGAGAAAGCAGGGAUCACAUUGCUGUUGCCCCUGAAAGUCAUAGCUUUGCUUCCCCUCACACCAAGCUCGAGAACAAUUCAAGGAUGGGGCAAACAAGGCCUUCCUUCUCCUUUUGAGGGGCUGUGGCUCUUCAGAGGUGAGAGGAGGAAUGCUUUCUUGUUCGGGUGGUCUGGUACAAGCACAGACAUAGCUGAACCACUUCCAAAAAGGCUCAGUCCUAACUGUGACAAACUCUGUCAGAUGCAAAAACAGGUACUGCUGUGAGAUGGCCUCUUUCGUACAGACUUAAGAUUCCAUUUAAUGGCUCCCAGAGGAGAAUUGAGCCAGUAUUUAAUUAAUGUGACUAAAAUUAUGCAUUUCAUCAACUGUACACCAUAUUAAUCGCACAUAUCACAUUGAAAAAUGAUGCUCUUCAAGCAACUUCGCUUUUAUGGAGUAAAGUUUGCAAGAGCUAGUGCAAAUGAAUGCCUAAGAAAGGCGUGGGCUCCCGGUGUGAACAAGGAACAGUCACAUACCAGUUCAGUGACUGCAAGUCAGGCAUCAAUAGCCAAUGUAAAGUAGAUCAUAUUACAUAUUACACCAGUUAUCAUAUGCCAGCAAGGACAAAUUAUGCACAAGGAGAAAGGAAUGAUAGCAAUAGCUGAGUGUCUUAUGGGCUAUGAGUAUUUGCAUCCCCUGCAAAAUUUUGGAAGAAUUGCAUCUGCACUUGUUCUGGUGUUGUCCUCCAUCUUAGGCACGAGACAGUGGUGAGUUUGCAAGAGCAGGACAGGACCUACUUGAGUUGUGUGGGUGCUGCUUAGUGGAGCCACCUUUCUUCCCAAGUGCCUGUAUGUGCGUAUAGCUCAAAAAUCAUGGGUAAAGUACGGUUUCAAGGAACUCACUGGAUCCCGCCAUUUCAGUUCUAAGUGUUGCAAAGAAAACAAAGGCUCCCUCAGUUCAUUUGCAACCAUAAAUUUCAUUUUCUAUAUAGACCUCUGAAGACCUGUAGCGUGUUUCUAGGUGUAGCUGCUGUUGGACUGGAAGUUUCUGUGGCUUCUCCACUUACAUGGAUUGUCAUAGUAUAUGCAGGGUCAGAAGCAACCUUUGUCUUGGUGGUAUAUUGUGCGCAUUCAUGCAAUGUGUGGGGAGGACAGAAGAUCUCAAUUUAGUGCAAAUUACAAAUUACAGGCAAACAUUUCAUUUGGUAUCCUUUCACAUUCAUAUUCAGAAAAAAAUUGUAUUUUUUUUACACAAAGCCCACUUUUUCUGUCGUAUUUCAAUCUAUUGCAUGUCAUUGUUCAGUCCACAUUGUGUAAUGCUGUGAUCAUAUCAGCUGUCAUAAAGGAUAAUUUAGUAAUAACAAAAUGUGUCCUGAUGCAGCUUGACAAGAUGAAAUUUGCAAAAAAUAAAUAUGGUUCCUGGCCAAUAUGCAUUCACUGUAAUGACUUCAGGCAUCCCUCCCUUAAUGAAUUACAAACCAACAAUAGUCUUCUGAUUGGUUUUUGGCUGCAACAAACAGGGAAUGGUAUGACUAUUAAAUAUCUAUGGGACAUACUUCACACUGGCGUACAGACUUAUGGAGAGGUGACACAUAUACCAUGUAGUUCUUAACAGGUUAUCCUGAUUACUUCUUCUGGUUCUCACAGGUAGGCAAAAAGUAUGAAUUCACUGGAGCAGAUUUUUCUUUUGGAAAAACAUAAAUCAAUCUGAAUUCAUUGAAACUGUGUUUUUUUUUUAAGAGAAAGUGUUCAUAAAUCUUGGAGAUAACUUUUAUUUUUUUAAAAGAUCUAUAUUUUAUGACAGACAGUUUAAAUUUGCACCUGAGACCAUAAUAGUUACUAUGAAAGGAGAAUGGAUAACAAAUGGAAUGGAAGGACUCCCAUUAAGCAUAAAAUUACUCGACAAGAACCACCGUGAAUCAAUUAAUCAUAAUGUAACAGGACUUUAAUUUUGGGGCAUUCUCAAAAUCCAAAAUGUUUACAUCAUUUUUCAUUGUAACAAAUAUGAUUAUCAUUGUUUACAGCUGAUGAAACACAUGAUUUUUAUCACAGUAAUUAAAUACUUGUUCAAUUGUUUUGAUUUUUUUUUAAAUUUAUUUUCUAGUAGUCUUCAAAUUGAAUUCUAAGGCUAUCUAUAAGGCUGUCUAAAGGAGACUGUGACAAUGAUGCCCUUCCACCCUUUAGAUCGUGUGCAAAAAGGAUCAGAAAAAUGAAUUUACAGGACAGCAUGAUCAUGCAAGACAUAUCUGUAGUUUAGAGUAAGGCUUGGAUCCAGGUUUGUUGCAGAGAAAUAACAUAAGGCAUUUAGGACUACAGUAAGACUAUUAUAAAUAGAUAGUUUUAUUUCAUAGAAUCAUAGAAUGGUUUGGGUUGGAAGGGACCAAUAAGAUCAUCUAGUUCCAAGCUCCCUGAUGUAAGCAGGGACACCUCCCACUAACCAGGUGCUCAAAGCCCCAUCCAGCCUGGCCUCAAUGCCUACAGAAAGGAGGCAUCCACAACCUUGCUGGGCAACCUGUUCCAGUGUCUCACCACCCUCACAGUAAAUAAUUUCUUCCUAAUAUCCAGUAUAAAACUACCUUCUUCCAGUUUAAAGUCAUUUCCCCUCAUCCUGUUGCUACGUGCUUUUAUAAAAAGUCUUUCCCUAGCUUUCCUAUAGGCUCCCUUCAGGUACUGGAAGGCCACUAUAAGGUCCUCCUGGAGACUUCUCUUCUUCAGGCUGAAGAACCCCAACUCUCUCAGCCUCAUUUGAAUGAGAAUAUUAUUUUGUCACCAGUGCUUCAGAUUUGUCCCUCAGUUAUUUAUCUCAGUAUUAUUUAAACAUUCAAAAUUAUUGACACCUUCAUAUGCCAGCUAACAGGACUGCAUAUUAUUCAAGAACAGGUAGAUACAGAUAGGUAUAUUAGCUGUGUGACUGCAGAGGGCAGACUUGGCAUCACCAGUAUUUUUAUUUACAUGGAUUCACUCAGUAAGGAAUGCUAAUUAUUCAAAUAGCCUAAAAGAAGGUUCCUGAUUAUUGUCCCAUGGAAACAAAUGAUGCCAAAACCAAUUUUUGAAGAUAAUUUUCUUUGCAUUUUUUUGCAGAUUCCUAUUAAACUAAAAUUUUGAAAUGUAAAAUAGAAAUAAGAGCUUAAAGAAAGAAAACACUGAGGGCACUAACUUGUUUCAAAUUUUAUUUUAAAACCAAACAAAAAAAAGAAAAAAGAAGAAAAAAUAAAAAGAAAAAGGAAAAGAAGAGAAAAGAAGAAAAAAGAAGAAAAAAGAAAAAGAGAAAAGAAAAGAAAAGAAAAGAAAAGAAAAGAAAAGAAAAGAAAAGAAAAGAAAAGAAAAGAAAAGAAAAGAAAAGAAAAGAAAAGAAAAGAAAAGAAAAGAAGAGAAAAGAAAAGAAGAGAAAAGAAAAGAAGAGAAAAGAAAAGAAAAGAAGAGAAAAGAAAAGAAGACCAAUCAACCAACCAAACAAAACAGCCCUUUUUUUGAGCAGCCCAACUUACCACCCUUACCAUAGUGAAUCAGAUGCAGUGAACAAUAAAACCCACAAAUGCCUGACACACAUAUUGCUGAGAAGGCUUAAGGAAAUACCAAAUGCAGAUCUUCACUCUCUGACAAGCAUGUGCUUCUAGCAUACUGUGUACUUCCAGCUCUGUAAGUUUGGAUAAUUCCAUUUGUGAGGUAGUUUUAAUGCAAACCAUAUCUAGAUACCCAAGUAGGUGGCUCUCUAUAUGCCAGACACGGUGAUAUGUUUCAUUAAACAAAGCUACCCUUCUUUGGAUAUACAAUAUUUUUUUUAGAGAAAUAUAUAAGAUCUCAGUACUAGUUGCAUUAUUUAGAGUUUGUAUACCUCAUGGAAUGUGACAUAAAUAUUAUUUCUUUAAAGCAACCAGAAAAGGCUAUUUGUCUCUUUUAGUAUGACUCAUACAAUAAUUCAAUUUACAUACUUAAAUCAAAUGAAUCGUCUGUCUCAUGCUAACUUCUUUCAACCUCUUUUAUUAUGAUAUAAGUUGUUUGUUUUGUUUCCAAAAUCUAAUACUCCAUCUCCCUUGUACUAUCAGUGUGUAUGAAUAAUGAAUAUUUGGUGCCUUUUAAUACCUCUUAGUUUAUCAUAACAGGCAAUGUCUUACAUCACAGCCAAUUUCAUUGAUUAUAUGCAAUUUACUGAAUAUGUAUGUCAUCUAGCCUGUAUUAGGCUGGGUUAUGACUGUAUAUAUAUGAACACUGCCAGCUGCUUUAGCACUUACAAGCUCCUGAUUAGCCAAAUUACAGUCUUGGACUUAACAAGACACAAAGAUAUGCUUUGUGCUCCUUAUGAUACUGCUCUUUGGAGAAAUAUUUUAGUACCUUUGGAACCGGCCAUAGCAUUGAAAACAUAAAAGCUAAUGGCCUUUAUGACUGAGAAACCAUGAAAGAAAUGCUGAUGUGCACAGUAAGUUAAAAUUAACACAGGUGCUUACAAUGCUUUUCCAUCAGCACAAAGUCCUUGAUUUAGAAGGCCUUAAGGUAGAUGGUUAAUUACUUGCUGAAUCAGGUUGAGAAUGCUUAUACAAAAGCCUUUGCUAAUUUGGAGGAAGAAAAGUUCAAGGCAAAUAUGUUUCAAGCUUUGGAAUGUGUAUGGAACUUGUGACAAAAUGAACAGAGUAAUUCCUGUAUCAGUGGGAGGCACUUUCCAUGCCUGUGGCCCGCAGGUUACCUGUGGGUUUUAAAAACAUGAUCCUCCAUCCUUAAUUCUUCCAAAGCAAGACUAUUGGUGGGAGGACAACAUCAGGAUCUUACCUGUGAGGCAGGCAGGUGUGGAUUUAUGAGGUGUAGAGAGAUUAGCUGCCAUUCAUCGUUACCAACCUGUGGCUCUUUCUAAACCUCAGGGUUUGGAGGGAAGGGGGAGCUAGGAGAUUGAAAAGCCUUUCCACAGAUAUUGCUGUAGUUUCCAAUACUUGCUUCCAGUACCAAGGCAGCCUCAGUUUUAUGGGUUGCUGGCUUCAAGUGGGCAUACUUUAUGGCCAGUCAAGUUCCAGAAUGUCCAGUUGCCUCUCUGAAGGGAUCAGCUUGGCCUUUCCUGGGGGAUCAAGGUAGGCAAUGGACCAUGGAGAGGCUUUUGUUCCAAUGGGAGCUGUCCUGGAGCCAGAAGCAAGGCAGAAGGAAAGAGGGAGAAGUUCUCAUCCUGGGCAACUUGGCUUUCUCAUGUGGCCAAGAGCUCUUUUUUUUUUUUUUUUUUUUUUUUCCAUGGGUAAGCCCAGUGUGCUGAUGAACCAUGACAGAUUAUUCAAGAGCUUGUUUCCAAGGAAUAGUAAACAUAAAGGGCAGUGGGGUUCGUGAGUUAACAGUUGCAUACAUCAGAGUGUGGCACUCCUCUGUAGGUAUGUGACUUAGGAAAUCAGAGAAAGGUGCUGAAAAUCUUCCCGACAGAAAGCCCUGGUACACACAAAAAUUUCCAACUAUAUCCCAUCACCAGUGAUGAGGUCCCAAGUGCUGGCCCACAUCAUCGUGAUCGGGAUGGAAGAGCAAAAGAAGGCAGGGGAACCCGGGUCAGGUGCAGCUGUGGCCCUACUUAGGAAUUUUGUUGUAGAGCCAUCAGAGAAUUUCUUCCCUAGGAAACAUGGUGAGGUCAUGCAAGUGCUCAGAUCAGGCUCCAGUUGAGUCUUAUACUGAUUAGCAAAAGAUUUAAUUUCACUCUGAUUAAAAAAGAGCAGAUGAAGAGGUAUGCUGAAUAAUCCCUACAGGCAUGUAUCAGCUCCUAGGCAAACCUUUUUAUUCUGCUAUGGUGUAUGACAAAAGCUCUAAAUUUUAACUUGACAUUUUUUUUCUGAAGGGCCCUUUUCCAUAAAUUUCCCAGGCUCUUGUUUUUGAGAUUGUUACUGUGCAGAAAGAAAACAUCCUUGCUGCUUGCUUAUUAGAAUAUAUUUAUUUAUCUGUACCAUACAACAAACCUUAUUUAUUUUCCUACAUUCAUAUAGUAAAUCCUGUAAAUAUGCUCUUAGUAAUCACCAACAUGAUUUUCAGGACUGUAAUUCAUAAAUGAAACUCAUGAAAAAUAUUUUUGUCCGUUUUAAAUAACUCUACACAUUUAAUACAUUGAGUCAUAUGCAAAUUUGAUUAAGGGAGAUAUUAUCUUCCUCUUGCUGGAAGUUUCACUCAUAAAUGAGAAGAUUAAUGUUUGUGAACAACUUUUCAAAAAAUCAGCUCGUCACAAGUUCUCUUUCUGCCUGCAAGAAAUUGAACUCCAAAAUAGGAUGGCACAAGUUAUGUUUCUACAUUUUCCAUUCCUUAGUAUAUCCACUACCACAAGAAAAUGUUGAAAUACUUCUGAACUAAGAUACAUCUGACGGGUUCCAAGGGCUAUAAAGCAAUGUUCUAGCUUAAGGAACACACUGUUAGACACAGAGCUAUUGUUUAAAAGUGAAACAACCCACAACACACAAAAAAGUUGUGGACAGCUACAACUUACGUAAGCUAGUAGCCAAACAAUGGGUUGUUCUCAUACAACAUUAACACUGACAUAAAUUCAUGGAUUUUAAGGGUUUCUGUCAAACAAAGAUUUUAGAACAUUUUGCUGGAAAUAAAUGCAUAGAUACAAGAGUUCAUCUAUGCGUGCAUAUAAUCAGAGCAAUGGUAUACAUACAUAUUUCCUAGUAAAAGAGAAGUAUACACUAAUGUGAAGAAAAAUAUAUUGCUCAAUAGUCUUUUGAAAGAAUUUCAUCAAAGUCCCUUUGACAUUUAAUAUCAUGGUGAUCUGUAAUCAAAUCUGGGACAAAUUUAGCACUCCCAUGUCUUCUUUAUUAAACGUAGGUGGUUUUCCUGCAUACCUUAAUAAAACAAUGGGAAUAGGACUUCCACUCUAGUUCAUGAGGGCAACUCCAGAAAUUUCUGAAACUCAUUCCUAAUUUAUUCCAUUUGCAGCUGUUUCUUUAAGGUUUCUCUUCUUUUAUCAGAAGAAACGUAGGAAUAAGGAACACUUCCAAGUAAUAAGUACACACCUAAUUUAUUACACCAGGAAAAGCAAUGUUCAGAGGCUCCAUGAAAGAAAUCUCACUCAAGUAGAUGAGUUGUUUCAUAUAAUGGCUUUUUGUUAUUGUUGUGCUUUGCUUUUUGUUUUCUGUUUUUUAUUUUUUGUCAGCUUCUCUCUUUAAUAACGGGCUUUUUUCUUCAUUGACUUCUUGCUGAACUCCUUUGUAGAUCUGUCACAUCAGAUUAGCUUGUUCAUGUUCACAAUGCCCUGUCUUCUGGAGAGUUAUGCCUGUAAGGAGAAUAAAACUCAUCCCUCAACUUCAAGCAGACAGAAAACACACCUCUGUCCAAGUUUCUCCAAGGCCCUUUUGUACAUAGAGCAGCGUGUUUCCAUAACAGAUGUUAUAAUGACAUUUCUCUCCCACUGCUUUCCAUGUGAGACGAAUGUGAAGGAGGUUCUUCAGAGGAGGUUUUUUUUUUUUUUUUCCAGUUAAACAAGGAGAACAGACACACUAGCACUCUAAAAUAUUUUUGAGCCACCCCUAUUGUGCAUCCAGUGGUCAGGAGCAAACUAAAUGCAUCCUGGGGCUUGAGGGUGACUUUCAGCCUGACAGAUUGAGGUCGUCUAGCACAGUUCGCCAAGUACUUGCACGUUCAGUAAAUCUCUUCAUUAGGGUACUCCUCCCUCUUUAGAUCUCCCAAGCUAGAAAAGCACAUUUGCAAAGACAAGUUGCUGCUGGUUGAAGCCCUUGGGCCAGUGAGUGGGUGGAGUGGCUGCCAUGGUUGUGUAAGGCUCUGGGCCACACAGCAAAAGCAGGGACCAAAGUCACUCACUGUGGAGCAGGGGUGAGCCUGGGGAGCAGACAGGAUGGCCAGCCAGAGGCUGCUGCCCACAGCAAGCUCUCCUUUUUGUGCUGUGGGACAGUUCAGUCAUUAUCUUCUCCCUCACCCACUCCCACCCCAUCUCUUUUUUAAUUUAACACAGAGGAUGAAAUUUUGGCUCAAUGUAAAUAGGAUUUUUACCACUGAUUUCAAUAUGGCAAGAAUUUCAUCUAAACCCUCCAUGCCUCACUGAAGACAAUAACACAAAGAACACUAUUUUGGAACGGAGAAAGGCACCGUAUUUGUGAUCUGCUUUGUUUAUUGUGUUUGGGGGCUUCAAGAUGUAGUCACCCACCCACUUCUUUAUUAAAUGUUAAUUUGGCUUUUGAAAGUUUUACAAGCUACAGUAAAACAAUAAUUAAAAGUUUGUACGCAAUUUCCAUAGCUGGUUUUCAUUCCUCAGGGAGUAUUAAUUCUGGUUUAAUUUGUUUUUCAUUUUCAUUGUGCAACUAAACACAGUUUGUUUUUAAAAGGAGGAUCAAACUGAUGCUGAAAUAUGCAUACAUGUGUUGGCAGGCACUUCUCAAGAAGGACUGCAACCUGUGAACUUGGACCUCAAACAACAAAUGUGCAGAGCUCACAUGAACUUGAAGUUGCCCUUUUUUUUUGUGACAUCUAUAAACAUUUAUGAAGCUUUGUUUUUAUUCCAGUAAAUCUAUGUUGUUAUUUUGGGUCUUUUAAUAGUGUCUAUUUAUAUCGUGAAAUCAUGACAACUGCGUUGUCUUUCUGGAAAGCCACAGGUCAAGGGUCUGCUAAGCAAAUACUAACACAUGUGAGUAACUUCCCUCAUAUGAAUAAUUAGACUGAUCUUAACAGAGUGGUGUUUUUAGGAUCAAGCUCCCAAUAUUUUGACAUACUUCCUGAAAUGUUUUGUAGAUAGGAGCUGUUGACUUUCAUAUGGUGAAAAAAUAAUUUGAACGCCAAAAAGCCCCUCCAAAAGAAGGGAACAUAUUUGGGUCAUCAGGUCUUAACAAUUACAGUUUCACGUGUUAGCUUUCUUUUCCUAGGUACAAGAAGUGUUGGAAGAACAUUUACUCAGAAGAGAUCAAGUAGAAUUACUGUCAAAGGUUUGUGUAAGUUAGCAUAUAUAAUGCUUCCCCUGGUUGUAUGCAAAAACAUUUGGAGAUCUCUGUAUUUUUUUCCCCUCAUCUUCUAGGAAAAAUGAUGGAAUUAAUUACUACAACUGGGAUAUAUUAAAUUUUAUAACUUAUAUCAUGUACCUUUGCCAUGAAGAAAUAGAAAAAUGUAUACAUGGGAACAUCCCUUUAAUGAUAAGAACUACAAAAAUUCAUGCUUCCUAUGAUAAAUAUUAUUCUGUAUUUAAGGCUAUGCCUGGAUAUACUUCCUCUGUAGUGCAUGUGUUAUGAAAGUAAACAGAAUUCUGAGACAGAAUUCUGAUCAUACAAAGUGUACAUAAACUUGAAGUUGUGUGGAAUAGGCAUCUUUCCUUAAAAAGAGAAUUUCCUCAUCAUCUACUGAGAUAUUAAAUUGAUUCUUGGAAAGGUUUUUGUGAAUACACUAAUCCAUUUUUUCCUGCCAUUUGCACAGAUUCUUGGUGUGUUAGAAUGCAAUUCCAGUAAAAACUUCUCUCAGAAAAGCAUGUCAGGAACAAAUUAGCUCUUUACUCUUUAUUGAAAUAUAUUCAAGGGUUUGCCAUGUUGUCUUCUGUACCUUAUUCUCAAAAUAAAUAUUUUAUACUUAUGCUUAACUGCUGCUAGUAAAUUGCAGAAAUUUUUUGCUUAAGUUCAUUCUUGCAAUAAAGGUGGAAAAGUUUUGUAAUAGCUUGAGUGCAAAUUAAUAUCUAUGAAUGUCUGUAUCUUUUUCAUUUUUAACCUGAUAUUAAUUAUUUCCUUUAUUUUACCUUGCUAAAAUAUCCUGCUUGAAAUAUUUCUUUAAGUAAAAUUCCACAAAGCUUGCAAAGAACCUGCAGUCCAGGUAGCAUACCAUUCCUGAUGGCAGAAAGAGCAUACUGUCCAUUAAUGUUGAGUCCUGUGCGUGGUCUGUCCGGUGAUACACAAUGUCAUUUAAGACAUUUCAUCAUUCUCUGCUUGAGCACUCUUCUCUAAUCUGAUGAGGUACCCUGGGAAGAAACAAUGAUAGCCAAGGCAUUAAAAUGUAAUCAAGAUAUGCAAAUUCAUGUCUAAAUGUGAUUUGCUUGGAAAGAGAAAUUAAUCUAGGCAUGGCCAAAUAAACAGUGUGUAAUAUGGAUAAUUAAUCACCAAAUUAGCAGCUGUAGUCCCAUGAGAAGAUUAUGUAAAUGAAAAAGGCCCCCAUCUACGGUCCCAAUUAGACUACUUAAUACCAAACUCUAAACAAAACACAGCCCCUGGGAGCGCCAUAAAAUAAGGAAGUGAGUCAGUCUGAGUGGGUCAUUCUCCAAGUUUCACAAGCACGUUUCAUAACUACGUUAUUUUUCCUGAUUUACAGAAAGUAAUUUAUCAGUCAGAUAUAUCAGGCUCACUGAACAACUUGUAACCUUGAAAUUCCACUGAAGUUGCUUUACACAAGCCUAAACUUCUGUGCAUACAACCUAAAUCAGCAGUUAAAGAAGACAGGUACUAGAGUGCAAGUCCUUAAUCCCAGGGCCCAGAGUAAUAGGGAUCAAUACUGCAGGUAAAGGUGAGAGCUCCAGACAUAUGCUAGGUGCCCUCUGUGUAUUUGGAAAUUAUAUCCAGCAGUUUCAAUUACUGCUUUACACUUACAUUUCCAUAACAGAUCAGUCCUAUCUUGUUUCAGAAAAUGGUAUUUUCUCCAUAUUUCCAAGUACAAACCUUCCUGAAGUAAGUACUUUCCACUGGUUAACCAAAUUGAGGAUACCUUAUGUGAAUUAGGCUUGGGUAUGGUACUACCUGGCUCAUGACAGCAGAUAGUUUUCCCUGAGGCUGUGCAUCACACUAAGACCAGGACCCUAUCUGGAAUACAUAAAAUAUUAUCAAGUUAAGGAACUUGACCCAUAGGUGAAGGGAUCUAUUCAGCAUUUGAUGUACAGCUUCCUUGAGACACUUCAGUAGGUCUGAUAGAUUCAGCUUAACACUGACUUGACACAGAUGGAAAUAUGUUGACUUUUCUGGACACAAUUUUAGAUGUUUUUUGAUGAAAAAAUAAUAAUCUGACUCUUGUAUUCAUUUACAGUCAAAGCAAUUGUUCAAAUAUCAAAGUUGGCAAGGGAUUUGAAUUUCCAUCUUCUGAUGAACUUUACAUCAUUAAUUCCAUGGAAAGGAUCUUUGUUCAGUGUAGGACAGAAACUGCACAGUGCAUUCUCAGCCAAGAAAAGCAGAGCUUCGCACUUGUGAUCUCUGGUUAUCUGUUACUAUAAGCUUUUGAAGGUGGAAGAUACCCCUGAAAAUACAACACUGUUGCAAACUAACUUAAGGUAGAACUGAUCUGAACAGUCACUGGGAGAGAAUACAAACUCCAUUCGUGGAAAAGAGGAGUUUCCUUUUUUUCUGAAAUGCUUGUGUUGGUCUUUCGAUGCUCUGGACUCCAAAUGACUUUCUACUUACUCUACAUCUGUUCAGAAUAAACUGCACUCAUUUUAUUUAUUUAUUUUUUACUCCUUGUGAAGCUAUUUGUGGAUUCUUUAGGUAAGGUUUUCAAAUAACUUCUUUGUACAGCUAUGUAACACUUGUUAUAUAGCUCCUGUGCAAGGCUUCCAAAGCUGCACAGUAACAAGGUUAGUACAGAAUAUUUUACUCUUCUCACAGUUAACUGACAUACUGAGUGCAGUAGUUUCAUGUUGUGUUAUCAGUACAAUGAGGUAUAUUCCUUUUGCAAACUACAGCAUGAGUUUUCUUGCUAAUGCCGAUUUUGUUUUU
rnacentral:lncRNA from 1 species